UACGGAGGGAGCUAGCGUUUGUUCGGAAUUACUGGGCGUAAAGCGCGCGUAGGCGGCUUUGUAAGUUAGAGGUGAAAGCCCGGGGCUCAACCCCGGAAUUGCCUUUAAGACUGCAUCGCUUGAAUCCGGGAGAGGUGAGUGGAAUUCCGAGUGUAGAGGUGAAAUUCGUAGAUAUUCGGAAGAACACCAGUGGCGAAGGCGGCU
rnacentral:rRNA from 1 species